rnacentral:rRNA from 1 species
GACGAACGCUGGCGGCGCGCCUAAUACAUGCAAGUCGAGCGAGAACCAGGACUUCGGUCCUGGGGAGAGCGGCGAACGGGUGCGUAUCACGUGAGCAACCUGCCUCGGAGACCGGAAUAACUCGAGGAAACUCGGGCUAAUGCCGGAUGCCCUCGGUGGACCGCAUGGUCCGGCGAGGAAAUGGAUUCCGCUCCGAGAUGGGCUCGCGGCCUAUCAGCUUGUUGGGGGGUAACGGCCUACCAAGGCAACGACGGGUAGCUGGUCUGAGAGGACGAUCAGCCACACUGGGACUGAGACACGGCCCAGACUCCUACGGGAGGCAGCAGUAGGGAAUCUUGCGCAAUGGGGGAAACCCUGACGCAGCGACGCCGCGUGCGGGAUGAAGGCCU